AUUGUUAGUUGCCAUCAUUCAGUUGGGCACUCUAGCGAGACUGCCGGUAAUAAACCGGAGGAAGUGGGAUGACGUCAAAUCAUCAUGCCCCUUAUGACCUGGGCUACACACGUGCUACAAUGGUUGGUACAACGAGUUGCGAGUCGGUGACGGCGAGCUAAUCUCUUAAAGCUAAUCUCAGUUCGGAUUGUAGGCUGCAACUCGCCUACAUGAAGUCGGAAUCGCUAGUAAUCCGCGGACUCAGCACGCCGCGGUGAAUACGUUCCCGGGCCUU
rnacentral:rRNA from 1 species